rnacentral:rRNA from 1 species
AGUGAACGCUGGCGGUAGGCCUAACACAUGCCAGUCGAACGGCAGCACAGUAAGAGCUUGCUCUUACGGGUGGCGAGUGGCGGACGGGUGAGGAAUACAUCGGAAUCUACUUUUUCGUGGGGGAUAACGUAGGGAAACUUACGCUAAUACCGCAUACGACCUACGGGUGAAAGCAGGGGAUCGUCGGACCUUGCGCGAUUGAAUGAGCCGAUGUCGGAUUAGCUAGUUGGCGGGGUAAAGGCCCACCAAGGCGACGAUCCGUAGCUGGUCUGAGAGGAUGAUCAGCCACACUGGAACUGAGACACGGUCCAGACUCCUACGGGAGGCAGCAGUGGGGAAUAUUGGACAAUGGGCGCAAGCCUGAUCCAGCCAUACCGCGUGGGUGAAGAAGGCCUUCGGGUUGUAAAGCCCUUUUGUUGGGAAAGAAAAGCAGCAGGUUAAUACCCCGCUGUUCUGACGGUACCCAAAGAAUAAGCACCGGCUAACUUCGUG